rnacentral:rRNA from 1 species
CACGUAGGGCGCAAGCGUUAUCCGGAAUUAUUGGGCGUAAAGAGCUCGUAGGCGGUUUGUCGCGUCUGCCGUGAAAGUCCGGGGCUCAACUCCGGAUCUGCGGUGGGUACGGGCAGACUAGAGUGAUGUAGGGGAGACUGGAAUUCCUGGUGUAGCGGUGAAAAUGCGCAGAUAUCAGGAGGAACACCGAUGGCGAAGGCAGGUCUCUGGGCAUUAACUGACGCUGAGGAGCGAAAGCAUGGGGAGCGAACAGG